rnacentral:rRNA from 1 species
AUAGAUACCCCGGUAGUCCACGCCGUAAACGAUGAGUGCUAAGUGUUAGGGGGUUUCCGCCCCUUAGUGCUGCAGCUAACGCAUUAAGCACUCCGCCUGGGGAGUACGGUCGCAAGACUGAAACUCAAAGGAAUUGACGGGGGCCCGCACAAGCGGUGGAGCAUGUGGUUUAAUUCGAAGCAACGCGAAGAACCUUACCAGGUCUUGACAUCCCAUUGACCGCUAUGGAGACAUAGUUUUCCCUUCGGGGACAGUGGUGACAGGUGGUGCAUGGUUGUCGUCAGCUCGUGUCGUGAGAUGUUGGGUUAAGUCCCGCAACGAGCGCAACCCUUGAUCUUAGUUGCCAUCAUUUAGUUGGGCACUCUAAGGUGACUGCCGGUGACAAACCGGAGGAAGGUGGGGAUGACGUCAAAUCAUCAUGCCCCUUAUGACCUGGGCUACACACGUGCUACAAUGGACGGUACAAACGGUUGCCAACCCGCGAGGGGAGCUAAUCCGAUAAAACCGUUCUCAGUUCGGAUUGUAGGCUGCAACCCGCCUACA